rnacentral:rRNA from 1 species
UACGAAGGGGGCUAGCGUUGCUCGGAAUUACUGGGCGUAAAGGGAGCGUAGGCGGACAUUUAAGUCAGGGGUGAAAUCCCGGGGCUCAACCUCGGAAUUGCCUUUGAUACUGGAUGUCUUGAGUGUGAGAGAGGUAUGUGGAACUCCGAGUGUAGAGGUGAAAUUCGUAGAUAUUCGGAAGAACACCAGUGGCGAAGGCGACAUACUGGCUCAUUACUGACGCUGAGGCUCGAAAGCGUGGGGAGCAAACAGG